rnacentral:rRNA from 1 species
UACAGAGGUCUCAAGCGUUGUUCGGAUUCAUUGGGCGUAAAGGGUGCGUAGGUGGCGCCGUAAGUCAGGUGUGAAAUUUCGGAGCUUAACUCCGAAACUGCAUUUGAUACUGCGGUGCUUGAGGACUGGAGAGGAGACUGGAAUUCACGGUGUAGCAGUGAAAUGCGUAGAUAUCGUGAGGAAGACCAGUGGCGAAGGCGGGUCUCUGGACAGUUCCUGACACUGAGGCGCGAAGGCGUGGGGAGCGAACGGG